rnacentral:rRNA from 1 species
GACGAACGCUGGCGGCGUGCCUAAUACAUGCAAGUAGAACGCUGAAGGAGGAGCUUGCUCUUCUGGAUGAGUUGCGAACGGGUGAGUAACGCGUAGGUAACCUGCCUGGUAGCGGGGGAUAACUAUUGGAAACGAUAGCUAAUACCGCAUAAGAGUAGAUGUUGCAUGACAUUUACUUAAAAGGUGCAAUUGCAUCACUACCAGAUGGACCUGCGUUGUAUUAGCUAGUUGGUGGGGUAACGGCUUACCAAGGCGACGAUACAUAGCCGACCUGAGAGGGUGGUCGGCCACCCUGGGACUGAGACACGGCCCAUACUCCUACGGGAGGCAGCAGUAGGGAAUCUUCGGCAAUGGACGGAAGUCUGACCGAGCAACGCCGCGUGAGUGAAGAAGGGUGUCGGAUCGGAAAGCUCGGUUGUAAGAGAAGAACGAGUGUGAGAGUGGAAAGUUCACACUGUGACGGUAUCUGACCAGAAAGGGACGGCUAACUACGUG